rnacentral:rRNA from 1 species
UAUCACCUACGGGGGGCAGCAGUCGGGAAUAUUGCGCAAUGGAGGAAACUCUGACGCAGUGACGCCGCGUAUAGGACGAAGGUCUUCGGAUUGUAAACUAUUGUCGUUAGGGAAGAGAAAGGACAGUACCUAAGGAGGAAGCUCCGGCUAACUACGUGCUAGCAGCCGCGGUAAUACGUAGGGAGCAAGCGUUAUCCGGAUUUAUUGGGUGUAAAGGGUGCGUAGUCGGG